UACAGAGGGAGCGAGCGUUAUCCGGAAUGAUUGGGCGUAAAGCGUCUGUAGGUGGUUUAGAAAGUCUACUGUCAAAUACCAAGGCUCAACCUUGGGACAGGCAGUAGAGUACUUUUAGACUAGAGUGUGGUAGAGGUAGAGGGAAUCCCUAGCGUAACAGUGAAAUGUGUAGAUUUUAGGGAGAACACCAGCGGCGAAGGCGCUCUACGUGGGCCAAGACUGACACUGAGAGACGAAAGCUAGGGGAGCGAAUAGG
rnacentral:rRNA from 1 species